UGAUCCACACUGACACAUUGAUCCAUACUGACACACACACACACAUUGAUCCAUACUGACACACACGCACAUUGAUCCAUACUGACACAUUGAUCCAUACUGACACACACACAUUGAUCCAUACUGACACGUUGAUCCAUACUGACACACACACAUUAAUCCAUACUGACACACACACACACAUUGAUCCAUACUGACACAUUGAUCCAUACUGACACACACACACACAUUGAUCCAUACUGACACAUUGAUCCAUACUGACACACACACACACACAUUGAUCCAUACUGACACACACACACUGAUCCAUACUGACACACACACACACACACACAUUGAUCCAUAAUAACACA